GAGGGUAUAGCUCAGUGGUACAGUACUUGCUUAGCAUGCAUGAGGUCCUGGGUUCAAUCCCCAGUACCGCUA
rnacentral:tRNA from 1 species